rnacentral:rRNA from 1 species
AUGCUGCAGGAGGAUGGGGGUAUUGAUGAAGAUGUGAACCAUAAAAUCAAAGUCGGAUGGAUGAAGUGGCGCCAAGCUUCUGGCAUUCUCUGUGACAAGAGAGUGCCACAAAAGUUAAAAGGCAAGUUCUACAGGACGGCGGUUCGACCCGCAAUGUUGUAUGGCGCUGAGUGUUGGCCGACUAAAAGGCGACAUGUUCAACAGUUAGGUGUGGCGGAGAUGCGUAUGUUGAGAUGGAUGUGUGGCCACACGAGGAAGGAUCGAGUUCGGAAUGAUGAUAUACGAGAUAGAGUUGGGGUAGCACCAAUUGAAAAGAAGCUUGUCCAACAUCGUCUGAGAUGGUUUGGGCAUAUUCAGCGCAGGCCUCCAGAAGCUCCGGUGCAUAGUGGAUGGCUAAAGCGUGCGGAGAAUGUCAAGAGAGGGCGGGGUAGACCGAAUUUGACAUGGGAGGAGUCCGUUAAGAGAGGCCUGAAGGAUUGGAGUAUCACCAAAGAGUUAGCUAUGGACAGGGGUGCGUGGAAGCUUGCUAUCCAUGUGCCAGAGCCAUGA